rnacentral:miRNA from 1 species
GUGAGUGCUGGCCAGGGUGGGAAAUGAAAAGUGGGACUGCAGCAAUGGGUCUAUGUGCCCAAGCUGGGCCUGUGAGGUUUUCUCUGGAGUGCUCCCCUCCCGGCCUCUGUCACUUUCUACUCUACCUUCUACCCAG